rnacentral:rRNA from 1 species
AUUGAACGCUGGCGGCAGGCUUAACACAUGCAAGUCGAGCGGGGAAGGGUAGCUUGCUACCUGACCUAGCGGCGGACGGGUGAGUAAUGCUUAGGAAUCUGCCUAUUAGUGGGGGACAACAUUCCGAAAGGAAUGCUAAUACCGCAUACGCCCUACGGGGGAAAGCAGGGGAUCUUCGGACCUUGCGCUAAUAGAUGAGCCUAAGUCAGAUUAGCUAGUUGGUGGGGUAAAGGCCUACCAAGGCGACGAUCUGUAGCGGGUCUGAGAGGAUGAGCCGCCACACUGGGACUGAGACACGGCCCAGACUCCUACGGGAGGCAGCAGUGGGGAAUAUUGGACAAUGGGCGCAAGCCUGAUCCAGCCAUGCCGCGUGUGUGAAGAAGGCCUUUUGGUUGUAAAGCACUUUAAGCGAGGGGGAGGCUACUGAGAUUAAUACUCUUGGAUAGUGGACGUUACUCGCAGAAUAAGCACCGGCUAACUCUGUGCCAGCAGCCGCGGUAA